CACGUCGGCUUCUCCCUCCUCACUCCACAUUUCUUCCCCAACUCCACAAAAUCCCCAAAUCAAGGCUCAACCCUAAAUUCAAUUCCAUCCCCCUUCUUCCAUCGGCGCACCUCACAACGCCGUCCGCUCAACUCCGGCCAGCGACGUGCCUUCACCACCGUUGACGACUCCAGUGACUUGAAGUCAGCGGAGCAGGCGCUGCCGACGGCCUGGUCGUCUGGCUCGAUUUUCAUUCUCGCCGGAGUGAUAUCGCUGGAGUCAGCCCAGUCCGCUCCGUCUUUCGCCAUUUCUCGCCGCCUCCUCUGACCCAAGAGGACGCCCGGUUACUCUCCCCGUAGCGACGGCGCUGCCCUUGGUCAGCCCUGGCAGUAGCUCCUGCCGCUGCUGUGCAGUUCCUAUUCCGGAGAUCGCCGUUGACACACGAGCGGUCCCGAAGCAACCCGCAACUGCCCGAGUUCACUCCGAAAAGCCCCGGAAGAUAAGUUCUCAUCACCAAAUUAUGUUUCUUUUCGUAUUUUGAUUUAACCGUGGGAGUGUUCAAUUAGUUGUACUGUUAUCACUCUUGUGAGUUUGGUUGAUCGUUUUAAAUCGGUUUCGAGUUUCGAUUGAUGCAACAAAGUGACAUGCUUGAUGUUUGGAGUAAAGGGAUGGGGAGGAUUUUCUUUACCUUCUGUUGAACUCGCUUUGUGAAGGCGAAAGGAAAAGUCUCUCGCAGUUAUGAUUCUGUCAAGACAAAUUGUAUAUGCUUAAAUAUCUCAAAAGAGUUGUGGAGAUUCAUACAUGAACUUUGAAUGAAUUUACCUAUGAUUUAGAAUGGGUAUUGAAUAAGGAGCUUGGCAGUUCUUCAAACUCCCGGUUUCUGCCGUGAAUAAAGGAGUGUAACCGUGAAUUUUAGGAGUGGGGACGAAAUUUUUUAUACUCUCUUUUGCUACUGACUUGCAGAUGGACGAAUUGUGAGAAUGAUAAGGGUGAAAUUUAUGCAUGUGAUGGGGUUUUAUAGGCUAACUUGGUGUACUUUGGGAGGGCUUUAAUUAGGCUGCUGUAUACCUUGUUGUUAUGCAUAGUAUACUCUUGUCCUUGGCCCCCUUGCAGCCUUCUUUAAUUGAUUUCGGUGGUACAUUGCAGGUGCUCCAGGAGGAGCAGAGGUUGUUGCAGCUGGAGAGGCUGCUUUGUUGGCCUCGUGGCAGCCUUUGCUCAGGCUGGAGUAUGCAGAGUGCAGCUGCUGCGGCUGCCCCUUUCGACUUUGGAGAGGAUUAACCACUGCGCGGACUUGUAGUUCUCGGCCCAACGGCCUGCCUCGGAAUCUGGGCUGAAACCUUGGUAGGAAAAGGACCCGAAGCUAGUUGUUUCAUUUGUAAAGAGAUAGGGCUUUUCUACUUGUAACCAAAUCUCUGUAAUCGUUAACGUGUAUUCCGUUUCCUUUCAAACAUUUGUUAUUUAUUAUCUUGAAAUUCUUUAGAUUGUAUCUCUUUUUUUACUCAAGAAAUAACAAUCACUCUCUCAUUCUUUAUCUAA